rnacentral:tRNA from 1 species
ACCCAGUUGGCAGAGCAUGUGACUCUUAAUCUCAGGGUUGUGAGUUCGAGCCCCACACUGGGUG